rnacentral:rRNA from 1 species
CCAGUAACGGCGAGUGAAGCGGCAACAGCUCAAAUUUGAAAUCUGGCCCCCCGCGGGCCCGAGUUGUACUUUGGAGAGGACGCUUCUGGCGCGGCGCCGUCCGAGUUCCCUGGAACGGGACGCCGGAGAGGGUGAGAGCCCCGUACGGGCGGCCGCCUAGCCUCUGCGAAGCUCCUUCGACGAGUCGAGUAGUUUGGGAAUGCUGCUCAAAAUGGGAGGUAAAUUUCUUCUAAAGCUAAAUACCGGCCAGAGACCGAUAGCGCACAAGUAGAGUGAUCGAAAGAUGAAAAGCACUUUGAAAAGAGGGUCAAACAGUACGUGAAAUUGUUGAAAGGGAAGCGCCUGUGGCCAGACUUGCGCCCCGCGGACCACCCGGCGCCUCGCGCGCCGGGGCACGCCAGCGGGGCGCAGGCCAGCAUCGGCUCUCUCGGGGGGACAAAGGCCGCGGGAACGUAGCGCCCUCGCGGCGUAUUAUAGCCCGCGGCGCCAUGCCCCCGGGGGGGCCGAGGACCGCGCUCCGGCAAGGAUGCUGGCGUAAUGGCCACCGGCGACCCGUCUUGAAACACGGACCAAGGAGUCAAGCAUUGGGGCGAGUGUCUGGGUGGCAAGCCCGCACGCGGAAUGAAAGUGAACGCAGGUGGGAGCUUCGGCGCACCACCGACCGAUCCUGAUGUCCUCGGAUGGAUUUGAGUAGGAGCCCCGCCGCUUGGACCCGAAAGA